AGAAUCCCAACGCUUGUUCGAUGAUGUGAUGAUGAUCGGACGGCUGGAAAUUGAAGGAAAUUGUAGAUAAAGAUCAAAUCCGUGUACGUAGUAGAAUAGGAGAGAAUUUUGGGAUUAUCGAUGGAUUUAGGUUUUAACCAGAUGUGAGCUGGAUGUUUGCGACCGGCUUAACCAGAUGUGUGCUGGAUGUUUGCCGCGCGCGGAGGAGGCCGGUUCAGCGUUCUCUUCGUCUAUGGAGUUGUCAUUUUGUAUUUAGAAUUUUGUAAUAAUUAAAGAGAUGAUAAUAAAAUAAAAUUAAAAAUAUCCAACGCUAUUAUCGAUUUGUUUAGAGUUGUCUUGUCUUGAUGGAGAAAAUGAUGUUCAAUUCCUUCUUGUUUUAUACGUUAUUAGUCUGGUUACAAAC
rnacentral:lncRNA from 1 species